CGCCUGUUUWUCAAAAACAUGGUUUUUUGAAAAUAAUUUAAAAUUUUACCUGCUCAAUGAAUUUUUAAAUAGCUGCAGUAUAUUAACUGUACAAAGGUAGCAUAAUAAAUAGUUUUUUAAUUGAAAACUAGAAUGAAGGGUUUAAUGAAAUGUAAAUUUUAUUAGUUUUAAUAUUAAAAUUUUUUUUUAAUUAAAAAAAAUUAAUUUUUUUUAAAAGACGAGAAGACCCUAUAGAUUUUUAUAAUAAAAAUUAUUAUUUAAAUUAAUUUAAUAUUUAAUUUAAUUAAGUUAUUUGAUUGGGGAAAUUUUUAAAUUUAAUAAACUUUAAAAUUUUAUAAACAUAAAUUUAUGAAUUUUUGAUUUUUUUUUGAAAAAUUAAUAGAAUAAAAUACUUUAGGGAAAACAGUGUAAUUUUUUUUGAUAGAUCUAAUAGAUGAAAAAGAUUGCUACCUCGAUGUUGAAUUAAGAUAAAAUUUUAUAGAAAGAUAUAAAAAUUUUUAGUCUGUUCGACUAUUAAAAUCUUACGUGAUCUG
rnacentral:rRNA from 1 species